rnacentral:piRNA from 1 species
UAGCAGGUCGUGCUGAGUCAGUCCAGU